GGAGAUUUAGCUCAGUGGUAGAGCGCUUGCCUAGCAAAUGCAAGGCCCUGGGUUCGGUCCCCAGCUCUG
rnacentral:tRNA from 1 species